UUGUAAGUGUUGAAGAGCGUUCGGUGGAUGCCUUGGCACCAGGAGCCGAUGAAGGACGUAGGAGGCUGCGAUAAGCCUCGGGGAGCUGUCAACCGAGCUGAGAUCCGAGGAUUUCCGAAUGGGGAAACCCGGCACGAGUGAUGUCGUGUCACCUGCCGCUGAAUAUAUAGGCGGUGUGGAGGGAACGUGGGGAAGUGAAACAUCUCAGUACCCACAGGAAGAGAAAACAAUUGUGAUUCCGUGAGUAGUGGCGAGCGAAAGCGGAUGAGGCUAAACC
rnacentral:rRNA from 1 species